rnacentral:rRNA from 1 species
GGAUUCCGAAAUAUAUCCUUGCGGAGGACCUACUGUUGCUUCGGCGGGAUUGCCCCGGGCGCCUCGCUGUGCCCCGGAUCAGGCGCCCGCCUAGGAAACUUAACUCUUGUUUUAUUUUGGAAUCUUCUGAGUAGUUUUUACAAAUAAAUAAAAACUUUCAACAACGGAUCUCUUGGUUCUGGCAUCGAUGAAGAACGCAGCGAAAUGCGAUAAGUAAUGUGAAUUGCAGAAUUCAGUGAAUCAUCGAAUCUUUGAACGCACAUUGCGCCCGCCAGUAUUCUGGCGGGCAUGCCUGUCUGAGCGUCAUUUCAACCCUCAUGCCCCUAGGGCGUGGUGUUGGGGAUCGGCCAAAGCCCGCGAGGGACGGCCGGCCCCUAAAUCUAGUGGCGGACCCGUCGUGGCCUCCUCUGCGAAGUAGUGAUAUUCCGCAUCGGAGAGCGACGAGCCCCUGCCGUUAAACCCCCAACUUUCCAAGGUUGACCUCAGAUCAGGUAGGAAUACCCGCUGAACUUAAGCAUAUCAAUAAGCGGAGGAA